UCUGCCAACAGGCCGAGUUGUAAUUUGAAGAAAGCAAUUCUGGAUGUGUCUUUGCUCAAGUUCCUUGGAACAGGACAUCAUGGAGGGUGAGAAUCCCGUGAUGCGAAGGUAGCAUAUCUAUGUAGAAUGUUUUCGACGAGUCGAGUUGUUUGGGAAUGCAGCUCAAAGUGGGUGGUAAAUUCCAUCUAAAGCUAAAUAUUGGCGAGAGACCGAUAGCGAACAAGUACUGUGAAGGAAAGAUGAAAAGAACUUUGAAAAGAGAGUGAAAAAGUACGUGAAAUUGUUGAAAUGGAAGGGCUUGAGAUUAGACAUGGUGUUUAGUGUUCCACUUUCUUUUGGGAAUGUGUACUCGCUUUACACCGGGCCAGCAUCAGUUUUGGUGGGAGGAUAAAUGGUAUUGAAUGUGGCUGCUUGCAGUGUUAUAGCUUUAUCAAAUACUUCCAAUCGGGACUGAGGACCGCGCAUUUGCUAGGAUGCUGGCGUAAUGAUCUUAAGCCACCCGUCUU
rnacentral:rRNA from 1 species